CGAACGGCAGCACGGGUGCUUGCACCUGGUGGCGAGUGGCGAACGGGUGAGUAAUACAUCGGAACAUGUCCUGUAGUGGGGGAUAGCCCGGCGAAAGCCGGAUUAAUACCGCAUACGAUCUACGGAUGAAAGCGGGGGACCUUCGGGCCUCGCGCUAUAGGGUUGGCCGAUGGCUGAUUAGCUAGUUGGUGGGGUAAAGGCCUACCAAGGCGACGAUCAGUAGCUGGUCUGAGAGGACGACCAGCCACACUGGGACUGAGACACGGCCCAGACUCCUACGGGAGGCAGCAGUGGGGAAUUUUGGACAAUGGGCGAAAGCCUGAUCCAGCAAUGCCGCGUGUGUGAAGAAGGCCUUCGGGUUGUAAAGCACUUUUGUCCGGAAAGAAAUCCUUGGUUCUAAUAUAGCCGGGGGAUGACGGUACCGGAAGAAUAAGCACCGGCUAACUACGUGCCAGCAGCCGCGGUAAUACGUAGGGUGCGAGCGUUAAUCGGAAUUACUGGGCGUAAAGCGUGCGCAGGCGGUUUGCUAAGACCGAUGUGAAAUCCCCGGGCUCAACCUGGGAACUGCAUUGGUGACUGGCAGGCUAGAGUAUGGCAGAGGGGGGUAGAAUUCCACGUGUAGCAGUGAAAUGCGUAGAGAUGUGGAGGAAUACCGAU
rnacentral:rRNA from 1 species